CAGGACACAGCCCCAUCCUGGCUGCUGCGGGGAAAAUUAACUCCAUCCCAGACAAAACUAGCACAGUGUCAGAAUAUGAACUCCUUACAUGAAGGCAGAAACACAUGUCUGCUCAUUUCUAUCCCAGGGUAGCUGGCUGCUGAGCUGGCUUCAGUCUGUGGCUGUAACCCUCUUUGGCACAUGGCAUGCUGGCCUGGAAGCACUCUAUGUAAAUUGACGGCCCUUAAAGGUGACUUAGGAUUUCAUCCACUUGGAUCAGUCCUGUAUCUCCACAGACACGGACAGAAUAUAUGUAAAGUGCCUCUAUCUGUGAAUGUGGCAAUCCAUAUUUUACCAGGUGAAAAAUGAUUGUGACACACUGACUUUUCAAAAUAAUUUGUAUGUAAUCUUCUGAAGAAAGCCAGAUAUUUCAAGUGCAUACAGCUACUGACUCUUCUAGUGCAAAGAAGGGGAAAGGAAAGCGAGAAGGAAAAAGAAUAGAUACAGUUGUGAAUGCUGCCUUCAUACCUGCUAUCUUCCCCAAAUCAAGAAUCGGUGUACCUAAUGCCUCACGCCUGUCUUCUGUGAGGAAACUUCUGCUGGAAUGGAGAAAGAAACGUUUGCGUAAGAGCUUGUCACAAAGACAAAUGACCUUGAGAGGGCUGCUUUCCUGAUUGGCAGACUGACUCAAGAUGGUGCAUGCGGCUGCUUUACCUGCAGAGAGCUCUUCAGGGUUCUGCUGUUCUGUAACAGGGAGCUCCGCCAUAUAAGUAGGAUGAUAAAAGCAUGUUAUUGAAGAGGAAGGAUGUGACUAAGAAGAGAACCAUCUAGUUUGAAGUUCACAAAGACAGCAAGCAACAGCUAGCCGAACUAUCGAUUAAGAACCGUUCUGUGGUGAGUACACUGGGGCUCUCAUACACUGCGCUUCUCAUGUGAAGUGCAGAUUCUGUGACGCGUUCCUUCAAUUCUGAUUUGAGAGCAGCCCUGAUUUAAGGGGGAAAGAACAAAACCCGUGGUUGCCAAGGCCAGUGACAGCUGCUGUUCAGAGAAGUGCUGUCACCUGUACAGUCCUCGUGCACGUCCACAAGGCAGACUUGUGCGCCGUCAGGUGAGGAUGCCCCUUGUCAAGCUCAGAAGUCGAGGAAAAUUGUCAGAGUCCUCAGAGUCCUGCAUAUGCUUCCACUGGGAUCACACUUGGCUAAGAGUAUCUUCACUGAUGGAAGCCCUGCACCUGUGAAUCAAGUCCUGUAUCUUACUGGAAUCUACUUCCUAGCACGCUGUUAAGCAGAAAUGCCGGCUGAUGUGACAACUCCAAAUCCUUGUUGUCUGCAGUCAUUGAAAAUCCCAUUAUAUGUUUACUGAAACUUAAGCCGUACAUUGUAGUGUAUGAAAUCUUCAGCUGGAUUCCCUGCUUUUUAUAAUACGUUUCUUUGAAACACGACCAUGAUUCAGAGAUCAUUCUUUUUGAGGUUCCAGUCCAAAAACAUGGGAAAAUCCCUGUGCAAGAUCAAGAUUGUUGCUACAUACAUGGUGCCUUCGAUAUUGGCCAGUACACAGGUUGAACCAUAAAUCUCCAGACUUUAAAAAUAUGAACCGUUGGAGCCUGAGCCAAUUCUUCCUACAGUGAAACUAAGUCCCUUGGAAUUGCUGCAGCUGAAACUGUAGCGGACUUAUGAUCUAUUUAUUUACUAAGGAAGUAGAACAUGCUUAUUAGCUGCUGCACGUGUAUUUAUGAGGGAAGAGGACUGGGUUUUGUGUGGGGUUCUCUCUUCAGCUUGUCUAUAUUAAGGUGUGCUCUCAGGCUGACAGAGUAAAGCAUCAGUUUCUUGGUCUGUUGGGAGACACUGACCCAAGUGUUAGAGAAGAAUUUAAUAUAUUUUAAAAUGUUACCUGCAGAACAGGUACCCUAUCUAACCAGUUACAAACCCUGUCAGCUUAAAGAGUUGAAUGUCUUAAUAUAAAGGGUGCAGGAAUAGGGGAAGUAAAAGAAAGUUCCUUGCUAUAGCUUAGACUUGCAGAUGGAAUUUUGGGGAGGAAGAUCUCAUAUGGAGGAACAUAUGUUAAAGUGAUGAUACUUAUACUUAAGAACUCCUUUUAUAUGAAAUUAUAUGAGUAAUUUCAAAAUGCAGAUGACAGUUGAUGUGGGUACCUUUUAUGAAAUACUUCAGCUGUGCGCAGACUUUUGCUGUGAUAAAGUAAAUGUAUUUGGUUUCUGUUAAGGUGACUUGCAAGGAAAAAGGUGUGGGUCCCUUUUUUGCUUCCAUUUAGUAUGUACAAUUCCAUGGAAAUACUGAAAUUAUAACGUAGCUUUGAGGAUUGCAUAUGUUUCCCUAUUUGAAUCUUCUCUUUUUUUCUUCUUUUUUUUUUUAUUAGCAUUUUACUAUUUGGGUUUAUUUCUAUAUUUGGGGGUUUUACCAUAUUUGACUUUCUUAUAAGACCCUACAAUCUCCUUUCUUGGAUGAUUCUUGGGUACUGUCAAUAACUGCAGUAGGAGGUCACCAGUCUCAGACCAUUGCUUGGAAGGGGCUUCUGGGAGUCAUCACCUCCAGGCUCCUGCCUGAGCUGGUUACUAACACUAGAACUUGGUCCAGCCAGCCUUGUUUUGCUGAGUCUUGAACACCUGCAAGGUGUUCUUGCUGAGCAGCCUGUCCCUGUGCGGCAUUGCCUUCCUUGAUGUCUGUGUGGGUCUCCUUCAACUUGCUUAUUAUCAAUUUGAUAUGAACCUUGAGCUUUUGGAGGGGGAAAAAAGCCUCUCGCUGCUUACAUUUCAGUUCUGUUGCCCUGUUACCAAAAAGCUGACAAAAUCCUGCUGUGUAUUUUUUUCUUUUAGUGAAUCUUGCAGUAAAAUAAGGGAAGAAAAAAGUAAUAUCAGGGAAGAAAAAGAGUUAAUUCUAAGAAUUCUACUCUUUUAUGCAGGUCCUUUUUUAGGGAUAAAAAAGCAGAAAAAGGAAAACAAAAAGAUUUGUAGGCUCCUUUCUAAAUAGAAACCAAACUCUUAUUCCCUUACGUGCAAGGGACAUUCAUAGUGAAAACUUAUAUUUUGUGUUUUCAAGUAAUAGAUGCAAUAAAUAAACAGUUGCCAAAAAUAAUUUACAAAUUGGUCUGAAUAUUUAUCACUUUAUAUUUAGAGUAAGAGAGUUGAAAAUGGUAGUACAGAAAUCCCAGUGUAGUGGAUAAUCUGGUACCAAUUAGCUCUUUGAAAUCUUUUUACAUCUUCAAAGUGCAGUAUAUUAACUAAUCCGAACUGCAUCUCGUGGGUCCAGCAUUCUUACGGGAACUAAUUACUGGUGGCCUAAGGACACCUCACAGCAUGAGUUCUUUCCCAAAACUUAACUUAGGUACAACAAGUGAGUGUAUCUGGCUGGCUGACUUCAUGACAAUGAAUGCAAGCCUAUUAAGGCAUACAGAUGACUUCGGAAGCACAAUCUUUACCUGUCUUCACAAGGUAAUUUCAGUGACAUUGAUGGCUUUGAAAGGUACUCUGGGUUUAAAAGAAUUUCAUUUGUUAGAAUCCUGACCACCUGAGCUCGUAGUUUAAGAUAAAUUUUUACAAUUUCUCAGUCAUUCUGUAUCCAUAAAGACAAAUUAGGAGAAACUGCCAGUCAAGACUGUUUUUUAACACAUCAUUUGAAUGAAAAUGGGCUUCACCAAGUGGUGGCAGAUCACUCGGGUGCUUGUUUUGCAGUGCAGUCAUAGAGUCUGUCUCUGGUUUACUUUUUUGUUGAAGCCGAGAUCUCCUA